CAGCAAACAUCAGCAACUAUUUCUAGGAAUUUAGAAUUCCAUAUAUAUAUAAUCGGUUGCCCAUUUUCUCUUAGAAAGUGACAAUGCACACUCCUGGAAUGGCCGUUCAUGAUUCUUGUGCGAUAUUUAUCCACUUGGCCGCAGCCACCGCUGGUGCAUGAUCAUUGUCACGGAGGCAGGCAUGUGCUUAAGACUUGUGUAGACUAUUUGUUCACUUGUUUGAGUAGUAGUAUCAUGCAGAUCAUUGUCACGGAGGCAGGUAUGUGCUCAAGACUAGAAAUACAUUUAAAUACAUUCAUGAACUUAGAUUCUCUCGUUUAGAAUUUAGAAAUUGGUAUGAAUCUAGAGUAGUGUAUGCACGUAGUUUGAUAGAUUACUAAAAAAUUCUUCAAAAUUUCGCCAAACAAUGUUCUACUCUUUUGGGAAAUCUGGGUCUGAUAGAUAACUGCACACAACUAGCAGUUUCCUAAAAUUUGAUGGUGGUAUUUUAAUUCGUUUAGGCUGAUGCCUGUAGGGAGCUUUACAAUUAGCUGCAUGUAACUAGGUUCUUAGAUAAUUGUUGGAUGUCGACCACAUACCCUGUAAUGUUCCUUUUAGUGCAUACCAAGGCCAUAAGGAUUUUUGUUCUCUUUAGUCACUUAGUGACACAAAAAGUGGUACCAUAAAAUUUAUCUCAUAGUAUUAAAAUCCUCGCUGGAAGGUUUUCAAUUUUUUAGCCCUCAGUGUUCUUUCUAUGCUAUUUUAUUUCUCACAACUAAAAAAUUAUUUUGGAACCUUGCUGUUAGUGCCUUUUCUUAUCUUGUCAAUGUGUCCUUCCAUCUUGUAUUAGUUUGCUUUCGUUUUUACAUUAACUAGAACACAUGCUCUGGUUGUGGUUUCCUCUUUUUAUGCUACAGGCUUGGUUAGCUACCAUAUCACUCGCUAUCUACAAGGCUUUUGAUCAUCUCGGCAUGUUAAAAAAGAAGAAAUGCUUCUAGUUGUAAAGGAAAGGAAGGCAAAUGUAAUGCUAAUGAGAGUGAUUUAGUAAUUUA